AUAUUGGGGGAGGUAGGUCAGUGGCAGAGCUUUUGCUUAGCAUGCGUGAGACCCUGGGUGCCACCUCAGCACCAGAACAAACAAACCAACAAUAAGGAGGUCUUGAUAUCUGAAUUUUCCACAUACAAAUCCAGUUUCCUAUCAUUUGUUGAGAGGGAGUAUACUUUCCUUAAUGGAUUUUUAUGAUUUUUUUUGUUGAAAGUACAUAUAUGGAUCAAUUUCUGGAUUCUUUAUUCAUUCUGCUGAAGCAUGUGUAUAUUUCCCUGAUUUAUAGCAAAUCCUGCAAUCGGGAUAGAUGGAGAGAUGAUUCAGCUAUUAAGUGCAGUGGCUGCUGGUCCAGACAACCCAGGGUCUAUUCCCAGCACCCACACAGCAGCUCACAAACAUCUGCGGUUCUGCUUUCAUGGAUUCCGAUGCCCUCUUCUGGCCUCUGCAGGUGGACAUCCUGUUGAAGACAGUCAUUUUCACCAAUCAUUAUGAUAUGAUAUGUAUAUAUAUGCAAAUGCCUCCAGGCUGUGAUUUUCCAUACCAAAACUUAUGAAGUGAUAAUCAUCACUUCAGAGCAUCUGACACUGUCUGCACUGGGCCUGCACAAGACUGUACAUGGUCAGUAAUGAACAGGGAAGGGGCUCACAGGGCCACAUCCCUGCCCUCUCACCUACUGGCUACUGAUAAAUUCUGGUGGAGGGCCAGUCUUUAUCUUAGGUUCCCUAUCGACCAUAUCCGUAGUAACAGAGAUGGCCCUGGUUAACUUUGGUGGGUCACAAAACAAAUAUGAGAUAAAUACUUUUAGUGAAGAAGUGGGUUGACAGAAUAUGGAGAAGAUGAGAGACGAUGAUGCUAAGAUUAAUCAGAAUGUAUUAUAUGCAUGUACAGAAUUUUCAAAGAGAAAAAUUAAUUUAAAGAAGAAAAUGUAGUUAUAGAUGGUCCGUUGCUCGUCGGUUUGUGUUCAGAUGAUACUCACACAAGGAGAUGCAACCCAUGAUGGUUAAUUAGGCAUCCUUUCUGAUUUGCUGAUGGUAGUGUGAUUUUUUGUUCUUAAAUGUUUUGAAUAGAUUCACAGACGACAAAAAAAAGAGAGGGUGAAUCUAAUCAAAAUUCAUUUUAGAAAUGCUUAGAGAAUUAAUAUAAAUAUUAAAAUUUUUUAAAAAGAAAGCAAAAUGAUUUUAAAUGCUUGAUUGAAAAACAAAAAAUACAGAACCACAAAACUAUUAUGGGUAAACUGUUUACAACCAUAUAAUGGCAGUUAAGUCUACUGAAAAAUUUCUAAAUCAGUAAUUUAGCAAUCAAAUAAUAUAUGCUUACAUGAAAAAUAGGGAGUGUAAUUUUCUGGUAGGUGAAGAGUUAACAGUUAUUAAAUAGAAAAGUCACUCAUAGAAAAACUAAUCUCUCACAGAGAAAGAAAACAAACAAGAAGAUAUACAACUUUAAAAUAUCAAAGUCCUGGAGGGGCUAGAGGGGUAACCUAGAUGUUAUCAUAAAUAUUUUUGUUUAUAAAAACAUUAAAAGCUCUUAAUUAUUGUUGUCAUUCGGCAACCUCCAUUCCUCAGGAGAAGAAAUCACAAUUGGAAGGCAAGCUUGCCUAAGACUCUGACCUUUUGUCUAUAAACAUAUCCUUCAUGCUACCGCUCCCAUCCUAAAGGGACAGCUUAACUUGUGAUGAAGAAAAACUGUGUUCAAAGUUCAUCAAAAGUUGUACUUCUUUACAGCUUAAAAGCAAGUGACUUACAGACAAUUGGAAAACACAGAAAAUCAAAGACCUAUAGAAAUGCAUCAACAAGGUCCUACAGAAGACACAAUUCUCUAGAAGGCAGAAAGACCUGAGUAACACACUUUCAGAAGACAGUUAAUGAAGAGCUGAUAACAUUUUAAAUUAUUCAGAAAGUGUCAGGAAAAAAUGCAGUCCAGACCGACUCUGCAAGCCAUGAGAAGCAUCAUAUAGGGAACACGUAAGUUCGAGGAUGAGUACACAGAAAACUGUUAAGCUUGUGAGCCCGUGGAUUUCCAAACAGAAGUCCAAACUGAAGUCAGCUGGCUGGGAGGAAUAGUCAAAAAUACCAUUUCACUAGUAUAGCAAACUUUUCUGAUGUCACUCAGCAGAGUUUAAAACUCUAAAGUAUGUCCAUAAAUUCACAACAUAGGGACAUUGGCAUCACAAGCAGCCACCAUAUAUCCUGGGCAAAGCCAUUAGAAGCUGAAAUCAUCUGACUUCAAGUCUCAUUUUCUUUCAGAAGCAUUGACAUAACUGUUUGCAUUCCAUGUUCAAAUUAUUACAGACACAGUGCCUGACUGUAUUUGAAUACAUACCAUCUACUUACUUGUUUAGCAGGAAAGAGAAACAGGAAGUGAGAUGGCAACCCACUGGCCAAAGACUGGAAGGUCAUCCAGCCCAUCCACUUUCUUCAAUGACCCAUUUGAAUUUAUUCCCAAGGCCAAAAUCCCCAGUGCUGCCACUCCCCAUUUAACUUAGCCUUCACCCAAGCAUCCUACCUCUCAUACUCAAGAAACAACCUAUAAAAAAGCACCCAUUUAUCCUCAGAUGUGACUUUUUUAACCGGGCCACACCUUCCAUUUGAAAAGGAACAAAGAAAAACAAAAGAGGGAGAGGGAAAAGAGGGAAAGGGAAGAGAGGGAGAGGGAGAGGGAAGGAAAGGGAAAAGAGGGAGAGGGAGAGACUGAAGAAUGAGACUGGAGUUUGCCUUUCCUGAAGUAGCUUUUUUUUUUUUUUCAUGUUAAAAACAACACUGGCUGGCCACCUGCCCUUAGCUGACUGUUUUCCUUUCCCUAUCAGGAAGCAUAAAGCCCUAAUCCUUUGCAUUCACUAAGCAGUUAACACCUUCCUUUUUUUUUUUUUUUUUUUUUUUUUUGGUUCUGGGCCUCAAGUAAGUUUUUUGUUUUUGUUUUUUUGUUUUUUUUGUUUUUAUUUUUAAAGAAAAAGGAUGGCCAUUUAAGAGAUUUGUAAUAUCUGUUCUAAUUUUAAUACACAUAUGUGUGUGUAUUCUCUAUUUUUUCAUUUUUAAUCAAGUGUAAGCAAAUUUUAAAAAAUGACAUCCUAUACAUUUAUUUUUUAUCUUAGUCAAACAAGCCAAGAGGGCUCCUUCAGGACUACUUCUGUAAGCUUCUUCCAGAAUGAAGCUGGGAUGUGCCACUUCAGGAGUGGGAUGAUGGCUUUCAGAGGAGCAGACCUGAGAUUGUGAAGAGUCACCAUCUGUCCUUCUCACUCCAAAUUCUUCAAGAGCUGUUCUGCCUGUGGCUCCAGCCAUCAACUGCUAGCCCUCUUGCUUCCUAGGCACAGAGCUUUCUAGCUGUUGGGUUUUUCCAAGCACAGUGUCUUUCUUUACACAGCACUCACCAGUGUUUUUCAGAACAGAGUUUGCAUCAGAGUCCCAGGGAAGGGCUUGUAAAAACAAUGCUUUCCUCCUCCUGCAGAGUCUCCAAGUCAACUUAUCUAGGGUGGAGCCCUCUAAGAAUUUGCAUUUGUAACAAGUUCCCAGGUGAGGCACCUGCUACUAGAGAGGAAACCACCCAGGAGAACAAAUGCCCCAGAUCUCUCCAUUGUCCUGGUUCAGAAUCUCCAGACACACUGCCGGGACCAUCCACUAUGGAGAUAGACAUUGCAACCUGGAAUUUAAUAUCUUCUCUUUUCAUAUAGUGUUUUAGAAAUUCUUUGAGCAUUUCAUACAUCCAUACAAUGUAUUUUGAUAAUAUUUAUCCCUACUUGUCCCCAACUCCUUUUCUUUUGAGAUACAGUCUCACUACACAGACCAGGUUCCAUUUAUUAUCCCCUUGCCUCAGCUCAGGUCUACCAGUAGUCCAAGUCUGCACCACUACAGCAAGGUUGCUACAUCAAUCAACUCUCUGUAUUUUCCUCACAAUUACUUUCUCUUUGUGUACAGAGCACACAAACAUCCUGGAUCAGGCUGUUCAGAUUCAGAUACACAUCCCCCUGAUCUCUGAAGUAGUCAGUCUUCAACAGAGUCCUAGAAUGCCAACUCUUCCCAGAAGUCAUUUAUAACGCACCUUAAUUAGAACCUUCACUUGUACUUUUAUAACACUUACACAAGCCUGCCUUACAUUAUCAUUAGUGGCUAUUAUCUAGCUCUUUCUGCUAAUUACACAGGUGAGCAAUUAAGAAGAUACACCAGUGUCAAGCUUACCAGACACUUUGCUGUGUGGCACAGAACAUGGCACUUGACUGAGAGCCUUGAAGAGAUGAUAGUAUAUCUCUCUGAAGUUACUUGUGGGGAAUAAAUGAGCUAAUUCACAUAAAGUACUAAACAGCAUGAUUAGCAGAUAGAGCUCAGGAGAUAAUGGUAGUAGUUUCCUGAAAGUGUUCAUUAUCCUCGAGUUCCAUGGCAUUAUUAUGUGGUCAGGUCUCUUUCUACCUUCAAUAAUGUUGAUGUGACUGUUUGACCAAUAGACUGAGACAGACAGUGGCUGUGGUCUAAGCUCUCAGAAAUGAGUAGCAUCUACCUGAGGAAGCUCCCUGUUGGAUCCUUACCACUGUGUGAUAAGGAAGCCCCCCUGGCUUGUAGCCUUCACUGAGCUCCCAACAGACAGAAAACACAUAAGGGAGCCAUUCUGAACACAGAUGGUCCAACAUAGGUGCUUUGUCAUAUAAAGUAGAGAUGGUGAGCUGUCUUCACCCAACCUAGCCAAAACUGUACAUUUCAGAGCAGAGGAAAUGGCUCAUUAUUUAAAAUUAUGAAGUCCUAGAGUGCUUUAUUAUAUAGUAAUAGAGACCAAACAAGAACCUGGUCAUACAUCUGCAUAUUUUCUGUCCUCAAGCAGAACACGUCUACUGGUCAGAACCCUGCAGAGGGCUCAGCACAGGGUUCAGACAUUUCUAGAGGGAAAAGUCUGCUUGGCUUUCUCCUUGCAUGAGAAAACAUACAAUUUCCCAAGAAAGUAUUCCUUUUAACCUGAGAAAAGUGUUACCUUAGUCAGGUGGACUGAAGUCCUCAGAUAAAAGCCUCAGCUGUGUUCCAGGGUCUACAAAACAGGCUGACUAGAUAGGAUUUUGGAAAAGCAUCUUGCACUUACCAAGACUUGUUAAUUAUGGUCUGUGACCUUUCCCAAGUAGUAAUUCCCAAACAAGAAGAAUUGUCUAGUUGGUGCCACUUUCUUACCACCCAGCACAGCACCUGAGUUGGUGGUAAAACCCUAAGGAAUCUUCAUUAGUUAAAUGUUGAAUGAAGGCUACUGAAAACAUGUUUGGGAGAAUGAGAGCAAGCUCCCCCAACCCCCGCCCCGCCACCCCAGGAGACACAAAUAAAAAGUCUUUAAGGAAAAACCAACAGCAAAACCUUCUGUCCUGAUAUCAAGUUGCUUUGUGAACAACUGUUUUUUCUUAGAAGUUAGGAGCCAAUGCACACAUACACUGGAGUAAUUAGUUUGAAUAGCAAUCCCAGGUCUUAUCCAAGUCCCAUUAAUCUCCUCACAAACACAUACAUACAAUGUGUCACCUCCACUUAGAGUCAUCACCUUAACAAAUGUCAAUUGUAAUUGCUGCCUCAGAUCAGUUUUUCUCCCUUUCUCUGUCAAUCUGUUUCCAAAAGAGGCCAACUUAAUCUCUCUUAAACACUAUUUUUACCAUAUCCCUUUUCCUACCCCAGAGCCUACUGAGAAUCUCAACUGUCAACUGCUUGGAAUUUAAGCUCAUUAAGAAUUCAACCCAUUAACAAUGCCUAUUAAGGCUUUCUAAAAUUCUUCCACUAAUUUCCCAACCAACUUUUUCCUUCCCCAAACCCUCCUGACACCUUAUUACCACUUUCUAAAUGGGAACAAAACUCCAUGGAACCAUUGAUAUAGUCAUGCUGAGAUGUGGUUUCUUAACUCUGUCUGUGAGACUGUAUUAUUUUUGUCAAGAUACUUGAGCAGAAAGCUCACUGCCUUUAUAUUUUUGGAUCUGGCUAUACUUAGGAUUCUCUUGCCUUGGCCUCUAGUGUUAGGGUUCCAGGUAUAUGUCACCAUGCUUACCUGAUAUAUUUUCAGGGUGUCACUCCAAGAAGGAGGGGACACUCACCAAGUACUAGUCCUCAUCACCUUCAUGCUUUCACAGGUUAUUUAGAGACUUCUUUAAAAUAAUCUAAAACUUAAUUCAGGGAGCUGAUCAGAUGGUUUAGUAGUUAAGAGCACCAGUGGCUCUUGCAGAGGACCUGGGUUUGACACAUCACCUACACCAUGGCUCAUGUAACUCCUGCUCUAUGGGGAUCUGAUCCCCUUUCUGACAUCUACAGCAACCAAGCACACACAUGGCAAACAGACAUACAUGCAGGCAAAAAUUCUUACAAUAACAGAUUUGACGUUAAAAAAAAGCUUAUUUCUAUUGAUUUAUAUUUUGUGAAUGUAACUGCAUUUUAAUAUUCUAAUUACAAAAAAAUAUUCUAAUUACUUAAAACAUCCAACUUUUUUCAUGGAUAGUGCUUGUCAUUCCUCUGGCUUUCACCAUCCACCAUCCCUAGAUAGCCAUAGCUGAUAUGUAUGGAAGAGGGUGGCUUUAGGGCAAACUCCUAACACAUCUUCAAAGUGGUCUUUCAUUUUGAAUAUGCUAAAACAAACCAAUUGAAGAAACUGAGCAUGACCACAAGAGUUGAGACUAAGCAUAAAGAGAGGUCUACCAUCUUUUCUACUUGAACUGUGACUUUGUAGUGAGUAUGCUCAGGAAUGUUCUUGAAGGAGUACACUCUGGUCCUGGCCUCAAAGUGAUUUUGGUGCAUGGGCUUCCUGUAAGAAUGCCACACUUUGUGAGAGGAAGGGGCUACUUGGGAGGAAUUUCAUGAGCUUGUUACCUACUGCAGGUGAUACAUUUUCUUUACUUUUACAUUGUUUUUGUGCUUGUUUUGACUUAAAUUCACCAAGAUGUGACUGUAUUGCAUUUGGUUACAUGGCCACUUCUAAUUGGCUGGGGUGGGGUGGGAGGUUAUAUAAUGAAGUAAGUACAGGGAGAGUGUCUUAGUUAGGGUUUUACUGCUGUGAACAGACACCAUGAUCAAGUCACUGCUUAUAAAAACAUUUAACUGGGGCUGAUUUACAGGUUCAGAGGUUCAUUCCAUUAUCAUCAAGGCAGGAGCAUGGUAGAGUCCAGACAGGCAUGGUGCAGGAGGAGCUGAGAGUUCUAUAUCUUCAUCUGAAGGGUGCUAGCAGAAUACUGACUUUCAGGCUGCUAGGACUAACUUAUUUAAAGCCCACUCCCACAACGACACACCUGCUCCAACAAGGCCAAACCUACUUCAACAAGGUCAAACCUACUCCAACAAGGCCAUACCUCUAAAUAGUGCCACCCCCUGGGACAAGCAUACACAAACCAUCACAGGGAGAGAGGGAGUGAUAGAGAGUAUUAGUGUAUGAACUUCUCAAAAAGAAAAGAUCCUAAUGUCUUUCAUAGAAAGCAAUGUAGGCCUGGAUUUAACUACUUGAUGUAUUGCCUGCUUUCUUUCUUUCCUUCCUUCCUUCCUUCCUUCCUUCCUUCCUUCCUUCCUUCCUUCCUUCCCUUCCCUUCCCUUCCUUCUUUCCUUCCUUCCUUCCUUCCUUCCUUCCUUCCUUCCUUCCUUCCUUCCUUCCUUCCUUCCUUUGUUCAGACUCAAAUCAAGAAAGAGAAAUGCACUAUAACAACAGGAGACAGGUUUAGUCUAAAGAGUGAGCAGAGAAUUAGGACGGAAACAGCAGUCUAUCAGCAUUUCUGUGCCGUUCUCAGAAAUCCGUCUCCUUAAGGUACACCGGGGGAGAGUUGACAGAAUCAUAUCCUAAUUACAGAGUACAAACUCUCUAUGAAAAUUAAUGAAGGGCAAACAGUAACCAAUGAUGCUCUUUUAUGGAGUCAGAAGUUCCAUUCAAGUGAGAUCCUGGCAUUCUUGAGACUUCCUUUCUGUUUAUAAUUAUCCACAAUCUCUUGAAAGGGACCUGCAAACCACUAAACCUCAGAAGGCUAGCAAUUCCUUGUAGCUACUGUGUAACAUUUGGUAUUUUCAGCUGGGUUUGGGGGGAAAUCCUAGAAAUCCAGAGCACUUAGAGUGAAUAGAAGAAACCAGGUCAGGCAAAUGCUUAACUUCAUUGACGGAAUCAGAAGUCAGAUGGAAACUGACACACUUUGGCCUGGAGUUUCCAUUCCUAAAGCAUGGGUGUUGUCAUUGACCUCCAGGGAUUUCACAGAAAAAAAAGAUAAUGAAUGUGAAGUAUCCGGAUUAUAAACAAACCCUUAAACUGUUAAGUCUGCUUCCUUCUCCAUAUGCUUAAAUUUCACCCAUUAGAUAAUUUCAAAAACAAAAAAAGGGUCCACUGUUGAUGGAUGGGAGAAAGAAGUUAUGGGAAAGUAACUGUUUUAGUUUAAAAGAACACAAAGCCUAGAUCUGUGUUUUCUACUUUUAGAUAGUAGCAUGUAUAAACAGAAGUAUUCAUGCCCAUUUGAAAAUAAUUCCAUCAAAAAGAUCUAACAUAAUAUAAAUUCUAUUCCCAAAAUGUGGAGAUGUGGGAAACAGUGUGACAGGCCAGUGAGUGGGGCUAUACAGGGAGUAAAUCACAAGUCUAAAUUCACCAUGACCAAAGUCCAAAGUUCUAACACAGUGCAGGACCCUAACUGGAGCUGUGUGGGGAACAGAGUGGCAAAGGAAAGACAAGUGAUUCUCUGGUCCAAUUUUCACUGUGCUGCUCUUCACAAGUUGCCAACACCAAGCGUUUUCAAAAUUCCUAAGUCCUACUUGGAAGGGAAUGGUUUUGUUUAAGAAAAUGCUGUCUGACAACUGUAACAAAAGGCGUUACUCUUCCUAGAAGGCACUGUCCUAACUGACCAGCAGGCUUCCAGGCGGGAGCUGCUCCCACUGGCCCUUACUUUUCUCUAGCUAAUGGCAUGUGACUUUCCAUAAUGCCUGUCUGAUCCCACAGAACCAGUUAUUUCCAACCUGGCCUCAGGCUUGCCAAGAGGAUGGUGGAUUUGGCUGACUGCUGUGGCUCUUACCGGCCACUCUGAUUUGAAAGAGUGUUGCUUCUCCCAGAAGGAAUAAGAGAAUACACCACAGAAGUCAGGAAAAGGGAAGGAACCAAGAUCUGGCCUAUACUUCUCAUAGUUCACUGAGAUGAAAAGGUUUGUAGGAAGAGUAGAAGGAUCUUUUUAUGAAGACAGUCUACUGUAGACUUGAUUAUAGGUUGAUAAAUUAUGGUAUUUAAUCCUUAUAGUACACACAAGUUUGUGGCUAGGCCAGGCCAGAGUUGUGACAAUUAAAUAUCCAUCCACCUUACAGACACAUGUAAACUGCUGAUCUCAUAUUCAGAACCUAAUCAAAUUAUGAUGAUGAUGAUGAUGAUGAUGAUGAUGAUGAUGAUGAUGAAGAACAAAAGAUAUGAAAUAGUUGGAACUAUUUGAGAGGACAUGUACCUGUAAGUGGGGUUGUUGUCAGAGGGAAGACAAAAACAUAUUCAUGAAACAAAGUGGAAAUCAUUGUUUUUUGUAAAAUACAACAGUACAGCUUAGUUUUUCUGUCCAGAUUUGAAUAUAUAAAACCACGUCUGACUUACACUAUAUUAAAAUUACUAUCCACAGAGACUUUACCAUUAAGACUUAGUAGUGAGAUGGGUAUGACAUGCAGGAGACUGAGGCAAGAGGAUUACCUGAGCCUAGGUAAAUGACAAAAGCCUAAAAGCAUAAGGAGGUCUCACCUCUAAACAAAACAAAAGAGUGAAAAGAAGUGAAGCCAGACAACAUUACUUAAGGAAACCAUCACACCCAUAUGAGAUACAGUUCCAUAUUGAUACAUUUGCAAUACGGAAUCAGUGCUGGACACUAAGUAGGGUCUCCACUGUGUUUCCCAGAGUGAUUCAUCAGAAGGAUUCCAGGAUGAUGUUUGUUUACUCCAACGAGUGCUGUUUCUGUGGAGCUGCUGAGUGAUAACAGAUACUCCAGUAGUCUACACAAAUAUAUCAGCCUGCAUGGAUGCUUGAGGACUGAAUGGAUUCAGACCCUGUUGGAAGAUGCCUGCCACUCUUGACAAGCUCCUCCUAGCCUGUGUAAAAGUAGUCUUUGGCCACUUACCCUAAUCUACACAAAAGAGAGAGCUUAAAGGGAUUUGAAUACAACAAGUAAGCAUUGGGCUGACACUCUUUAGGAAGAAGGCAACCAAAACAAAAUCAAACAAAAUAAAACCCAUGUGAUUUAAAAAUCUAAAGCGAACUGAGAUAAAAUUACAUUUGGAGAAAAUAAAAUUUGAAGACAGAACUUUGUGUUUUGAAAAGAUGCCUGGUGGGGGACUUUCCUGAUCAGUCUUAAUUUAAACCAAUCUGUAAUAACACUCAUAAUCGGCUAAAUCUCAAUGAUCUGAAGAAAACCACUUUGUUGCUAAGCAAUAAAAGUAACUAAGAAGCAGCAUUGUGUGGAUGUCCUGGGAAGGGCCCAAGAGACUCGAUUCUCACAUUAUCCCUGGGGACUUGCUGCAGAAGCACCCUGGCUCUCCUACGUUCCUCCAGCACUUUUGGAUUGGUGAUGUAUUUAAAUUAUUUAAGUUAAAUAAAUUGAAACUUUUAUUGAACAAUUCAAUGUACCGUAAUUUAAGAAAAAAAAACCCAUCAUUUAGAAAAUGCACACUAAUCAUUCAUAGUUAAACAUCCCUGUGGCUUCUCACUGUGAUCAGGGUGAUAUAAAAUGCAGACACCAUGUCUGUCACUAUCUGUCCACAGCCUUGUUUCCUCUCCUCUCAUUGCAUUCACUGUCCCUUCUGCAACUGAUAUAAAUAUCCCUCGUCCUUCCUUCUGAAGACCUUGUGCUUUCCACCUUUGCCUGAACUCGUUCUUCCAGCUGAGUUCACAAUAUGGCAGGUCUAGGGCUAAAUUACCUUCUGUCCUCUAACACGUCGAUCUAGAUAACACUAUCCCCUUCAUUCUCCCUCAUAGCAUUUGUCUCUUUCCCUGCACAACAGAUUACAAUGUUAAUAUUAUUUCAUUUUCUUUAGAAAACCAGACACCAUUAGCAUGAGGCUGUUUCCAUACUUUGAAUUCCUAUGUUUGGAAUGCAAUCUAACUUAGUGUAUAAACACACUGAAAACCUAAUUUAGAUGAAAAAAAAUGUAACAACAAUUGAGUGUCAGCCAAUCAGGAACAAUCAAGCCUCAGGCAAUCACUAGUUUGCCACAUGAUCAGCCCAUGUUCAAAUAAAACAAAGGAUUAACUGAAACCAAUCAGGCUACUCUCUUACUUUACUUGUUCUGUCUAUAAAGACUCACUAUCCAUAUAGCCCAGUACCUGCUUUGAACCCUCUGGUUACCCAUUCCACAAGCCAACAUUUUGUUCAGCUAAAUUCUCAAGUAUGACUGUCUUUUUUUUCUCUUGUCAGUUAAAUGUCCAUCUCUUCUUAUGGAGUCUAAAGCUCAAGAGAAAGAAACCAGGUCCACAUUUUCUGCUGUACUCAUGAUAUCCGGGACAAGCAAAGAACAUCACAGAGACAGUUAACAUCUGUUGAAUGAAUGAAUGCAUAUGCCUUCUCUCUUUCUUUCUCCUUUCUUUUCAAUUACCACUUGAAAUAUAGGAUAUUGUUAUCCUAACUUUAUUUCAUAAAACAGUGGUUGCUAUGGCAGUCCUCUGAGAGGCCCCACCUAGCAGCUGACUCAGACAGAUCCAGACUGAUCUGGAUCUGGGUAAAGCCAAACUGUGAAUGGAGCUUUGGGGACUCUAUUGAAGAACAGGAGGGAGGAUUGUGGCCCCAAAGGGGAUAAGAACUCCACAGAAAGACAGUCAAAUAACCUGGACCCAUGGGGCUUUCAGAGACUGAUCCACCAAUCAAAGAACAUGCACAGGCUGGACCUAGGCCUCCCUAUACAUAUGUAGCAGAUGUGCAGCUUGGUCUUUAUGUGGGUCCUAAACAACUGGAGUCAGGGAUAGCCCAAAAGCUGUUGCCUGUCCAUAGGAUAUGAUCUUCUAGCUGGGCUGCCUUGUCUGGCUUCAGUAGGAGAGGAAAUGUCUAGCCUUACAAAAACUUGAAUUACAAAGGUGGGGGGAUAUCCAGGAGGGCCCCACCUGCUCAGAUAAGAAGGGCAGAAGGCAAGGGUGGGGGAAGAUUGUGGGAGGGGUGGCUGGGAGGGGUGCAGUGAGCCGGAUGUAAAGUGAAUAAGUAAAAAAAAAAAUAAGUAAAUAAAAAUAAAACAAUAAAAAAAAUGAUGGCUAUAGAUGGUGACAUGAACUAAAAUCUCAGCUACUUAAGAGAUCAAGGCAGAAUAAUCACAUUCUGGGAACAAAUCAAGACUCUGACUCAAAAAACAUCAGUAUAGGGUUAGGGCUCAACCUCAGUGGCAAAGUGCUUGCCUAGAAUGCUGGUUAGAUUUUGUCAACAGGACACAAGUUAGGGGUAUGUGGAAAGGAGGAAUCUCUACUGAGAAAAUGUCCCCAUCAGUGUGACCCCCAAGGCAAGCCUGCGUGGGCAUUUUCUUGAUUAACAGUUGAUGCAGGGGUGAUCCAUCCAUGGUGGUCAGUGCCACUCCUGGCAGGUGGUCCUAAAUUGUAUCUGAAAGCAAGCUGAGCAAGCUGGGGAAGGGGUAAGCACUUCAGCUUGAGUUCCUGCCCCCAGACUCCUGCCUGAAGCUCCACCCUGAAAUGAACCGUUUCCUCUCCAAGUGGCUUUUGGUCGAGGUAUGUAUUGAAGCAACUAGGAACAAACUGGAAAAUUAAGCAAGGGCCUGGGUUCGAUCUCCAGUACCACAAACAAGCAAGCAAGCAAAUAAAAACAGACUUACAGUUUGACUCAGAAAACAGAAAAGGUAGAAGCAAAUCUCCUAACUUCCCUGCUAACUGUUCUAACCAGAGGAAAAACGGUAGGAUUCUGAGGGUGUUGCUUCGAACUCUUAUUAUCUUUCUCUAGACAAGAAAUAACAUUAAUCAUACAUAUAAGGAAAAAUCUUCCACAAAUCCCUAACUUGUAGCUUAGUCUUUGAGUGUUCAGAUAAUAUGGCUAAAAUGUUACCAAAAAUAUCUGAAAGAACAUCUUAAUUUUUCAGGUCAUGGUGACUGGAUGGUCCUUGUGACUGUUAUCUUCAAGUCGUGCAAAAAAACCAUAGCCCUGCCUUCCUCUGUGUAACUGACUAUGCACUGCGCCCAGUUUGGAGGGAUCCAUCGCUGAGAUCCACAAGUGCCACUGGCGGUUUGGUUUGCUCACAAAUGUUUUCAUAAUGUGUUAGUAUUCGGUAAGGAAGCUUUACUCAGUUAACUCUCUGGAUCACUGACUGGGCCCAGACUGGUAACCUAAACACUUUGCUUUUCCAGCAUCCUCACUGAGUCAGUAGAGUUGGACACUGACCUAUGACAAAACAGACUUGAGUCCCUGGUCCUCCUCUACCACACGUAACAAACCCAGCAGGAGCAAGAAAAACCAUGAUAUAAGAGUCAGAAAGCAGAUGCUGUGUGAAUGGACUAUAAAAGGUCACGCAUGAGCCUUGUGGCCCAGCUUUAUUUUUCAUAGUGGAUCCCUUUCCCCCGCUCUCUAACCUACUCCCAUUCUUGGGAGUUCUUUGCUUUUCUUACUAAAUCAGCUCUAUCUGCAAUUUUCUGAGGAAUUUCCAAAUUGAUUUCCAGAGUGGUUGUACCAGUUUGCCAUCCCCUCAGCAAUGGAGGAGUGUUCCUCUUUCUCCACAUCCUCAAUUACAUGUGUAUGUUGUCACCUGAGGUUUUGUUCUUAGCCAAUCGGAUCGGCGUGAGGUGGAAUCUCAGAGUCAUUCUGUUUUGCAUUUCUCUGAUCACUAAGGACUUUGAACAUUUCUCUAGGUGCUUCUCAGCCUCUGUUGUGAAUUCUUAGCUUAGUUCUAUACCUCACUUUCUGACUGGGUUGGUUGGUGUUUCAGUGGUUAGCUUCUUGAGUUCUUUAGAUAUUUUGGAUAUUAGCCCUCUAUCUCUACUUCUUACUACAUUACCAUGUAUCCCUGGGUACAAUUCUGGGGCACAAGAAUCAAGAAACGCUAGUAGGUGACCUCUGGCCUCAGACCUGUGCUUAUAACAGCACCUUGAUUUCUUAGCAUAUAGAGCAGCCUUUUCCCUCUGUAUUCUAUUUCCUUCUUUUAACUCAUGGUAAGCAUUCGCUAAAGAAAAUAAAAUUCUCAGGAAGAAAAUCGAUAGUUUUACUUCCUUCUUACUAGACAAAAUACAAUAGUAUUUUAAAAAAUCACUGCCUAUUUGCACUUUAUGAAAACUGGUUUUGCUGCAGAAAUGACUCAAAUUCCGAUCACUGCCUCCUCCUCCUUUUGGAUAAACAUGGAAACAUCUUAUCUCCAUGGGCAGGAAAAGAAAGGAUUGAAUUUGUUUUCAUAAAUUCAGUUCUGCUCACCAAAUCCAUUCUUUACAAUGCACAACAUACACAAAACAAAUAUACUUUUGUCAAUCAGUUGUCAUUGUCAGCAAUCAUAGGGCAAUUUUUGAAAGACAAAACCCUUCAUGUUUUACUUCGUUGAAACCAAUGAAAAGGCAGAUUAAUAUUACAUAUCAACACUUAGCACACAUGCUGUACAAGGUAUGCUCACAAUUCAGUGCUAUUCACCGAGAGCUGUUUUUAUAACUACUUCUGUCUGGCACUAGGGGCCCAGGUCAGCGGAAGGAUGGGCACCUGCUUAUUCUGUGGGAAGCCCUGAGUUAACUCCCCAGCACCAUGUGUUCUAUAUCAAGAUUCCAACACCGAGAAUUUCAAUCAUAAACAUGUUUCACUUUGAAAAGUAAAAGCACUUAAGUUCUGGAAGAGAAACUACACUGCAAUUUUAAACAGUAAAAUAUGUGACAUAUUGGGAAAGGGUCAUAAAAUUUGUCAAAAUGGGCAUUUUCAGAUUCACCUUUAGCUUUGAAGGGUCAGUGUUUCCCCCAUGAAACCACUGUAUCAUAAUGGGUUCAAAUUAUUUAGAGUACUUACGUUCCUUUUUUCCCCUCAUAUAAAUUCUUUAAAGUGACAUUUCUAGUGGUCAACACAACUUUAGAAUGGUGCUGAGCUCAUGGGAGCAACUGUGCCUCUCAGAGUAGACCUUCCUUCUCCUCACAGCUGUUGGCAAUGCCCAAGCACGGGUUGGGGGAAGGCCAAUGUGGAAUGCUGCUGACUUUCUGAAGGUAUAUUGGACACUUUCUCCUCCCUUCAGAACCAUCUAACCCAAAUAUCAACAGCCCUGAGGUUGAGAAAACCCUACUUUAGUUUAAAUAUCAUUUAAAAGCCCAACGAGUAGGACCGGCUUUUAUUUUUCUUGAUUAUAAAAUAUAAAUCGAAUUACAAAAACACUAAACACUGCUUGGUGACAAUUCGAGAAAAGCAAAGUCUGGCAUAAAUGACACUCCUGGGAAGAAUUAAUUUUACAAUAUCCAAAGUCAAGACAGAACACUUCUGGUGUACAGUGGCUCUAUUUCAGGCACUUUAACUUCACCUUGACUUUCUGCCUGGUAUCUAGUAGGUAUUCAUUGAAUACGUCUUUGUUUAUCUUGGACAGGGUCUCACUAUGUGGCUCGGCCUCAACCUCUCAAUCCUCCUGCCUCAGCCUCCUGCAGUGCAAUAGCAAGCAUUUGCCACCCUGUCCAACUCCAGGAACUCUUGAGCGUGAGGCAAAGAAAGCUGCAAGCUAAGAGAGGCUUGCGGUUCACUCCCCCCCGACCCCGUCAUCUUACUACACACUGGCAUGUGGAGUGGCCCAAAAUCAAGCUUCCACCACACAGAGGACUCCAAUUCCCUCAGGAGGAGAGUGAAACAGAAAUAAUCCAGGCAGUUAAAUGAGGACUUGGCAAAGAGCUGACUCGCAGCUCCCACCACUGAGCUUCAAAACACUAAGAGAGAGAAAGAAACUUCUACUGUAAUUUGGGUCUCCUAUACGGCUGUUUACACAACCUCUUGCAUAGGUAUUUAUGCCAUCUGAUCGUCCCCAAGGUUACUGGAGCUGAAGGCUCAUUUUACGUAAAUAAAUGCUAAAAUGGCCAAGUUUUUAAAAUUCCAAUGCAAAUAACUGAGAAUCCACCUCCCACAGUUGGCCUAUUUAUAAAGUUAGAGAGGAGGAUUUUCUAUCCUUAGUACAGUCAAUUUUCAUUUAUCUCCCGUAAGAAAAGGGGAAAGAGGCAUACUGAACCGACUGAUGUCAGUAGUCAGGGCUGCUGUUUUAAAAUACAAUCUUCUUCUUAACAGAAAAGGGCAUUCUUAGAAGUGGGCCUGGUGAUACAUCCUUGCAAUCCCAGCACCCAGGAGGCAGAGGCAGGGGGGAAUCCAAGUUCACAGCCAUCUUGGCCUACAGAGCAAAACAGGUGGAAGACUAUUGUUUACAAAAUUUUUAAAGUCAUUAUUGUUAUAAAGCUAUGGGAUUUUUAUAUGGAAAGUAGUUUUGAUCUUAAAAACAAAAGCAUUAAAAAUGCCAAGAUACUGCUGGAGAGAUGCUCAGUGGUUAAGAGCACUGACUGCUCUGCUCUUCCAGAGGUCCUGAGUUCAAAUCCCAGUAACCACAUGGUGGCUCACAACCAUCUGUAAUGGGAUCCAAUGCCCUCUUCUGGUGUGUCUGAAGACAGCACAGUGUACUCACAUACAUGAAAUAAAUAAAUAAAUCUUUUAAAAAAAUGCCAAGAUACAUAUUAUAAUUAGUCUUGCCCCAAUCUUAUAUUUAUGGACCUUUCUGAAAAGUCUCUUGCUAUGUAUCCAAUGAUCAAUGAAAUCGUUAUAACUUGAAAGUCAAAACAACCAGGGUCAUGUGAUUUAGAAAGUGAAACAGCUUGGUCUGAAACACAUUUCUUGGUUGGUUUGUUUUCCUUUUCUUUUUCUUUUUUAAAGAUUUAUUUAUUUCAUGUGAGUGCACUGUCGCUAUAUUCAGACACACCAGAAGAGGGCAUUGGAUUCUAUUAUAGAUGGUUGUGAGCCACCAUGUGGUUGCUGGGAAUUGAACUCAGGACCUCUGGAAGAGCAGUCAGUGUUCUUAACCGCUGAGUUUAAUUAAUCUGGAGAUUCAAUUCCCAUGUAAAUGUGUACCUGAAACACAUUUCUAAAUUCUAAAAAAUCUGGGUGCUUCACAAAUCUAAUGCAGUUCAGGGUAUAAAUUAGUUAUCCCUUAUUUCAGUUAUUAAGCUCAAAUAUCUUUAUUUUAUACUUAAAAAAAACCAAAAUGUAUUUUAUUUGUAAAUACAUGCUAUACUGGUUACUGCUUAAAGAGUUUUGGUUCUUAAUCUAUAGAUAAGUUUAUCUACUAAUAGGAAAUAAAAUUCUUCACACCCUUUCGUCUCAAUUUCUGUCUGUGGCAUUAAUUGGCCAGUAGGCCACACUCUUCUGCAGUUAAGGAAAUGGGUACUAGAAGGCACAUUUGGACCCAAGUAAAUAUUUGACUAGUACAACAGUAAAUCCUGACACUUGAGUCUAUUCCAGGUACCGCAGGUUUGCGAAAAUUCCAUCAGUACCCACUCUUUAAACCAGAUCUCUAAAUAUUGAAAUAAAUCAUAAACAUCAUUUUGUUAAGAAAGCUUUUAAGAAGAUCUCACAUGCUGAAUUCCAUAGAGGCUCUCUGUGUCAAUGAGAAAGGCUCCUGUAUAAGCCCAUGUGUGUUCCUGGACGUCUCUUUUUCUUUUAGGGCUUCACAUAGUCGGUUUGUUUGAUUUCCAUCUUUCAACAUAGGAGACUGGUCUUGGCUAGGGCCUCUCCACAGGCUAUGCUGAAGCUGGGCAGAACAUUUUUGCUUUCUUAUCAACUGGCUCUUAAGGGGCAGAGAGGAGAGUCUGCCGCACAUCUAUGAUCUUGUUUUCCUUCUUUUAUUUUCUUGGUUCUUCAAGACCAGUUUUCUCUGUGUAUCCCUGGGUGUAUUGAAACUCACACUAGAGAUGAGGCUGGCCUUGAACUCCUGUCUGACUCCAGGAAGUCCUCUUCAAACCUUUAAAUGUACCUCAGUUUACUCCUCUCAUUAGAAUAUGAAACAAAAGAGGAGUUCCUUUUUAUCAAAAAAACAACUUAUCUAAAUUAUUUUUAAAAAACUGAAUUUUCUGGAGAUUCAAUUCCCAUGUAGAUGUGUACCCUUUCUUCCUUUAGUUCUUUCUUUCUGUUUGUUUUGUUUUGUUUUGUUUGACAAGAGGUCUUGCUAUGUAGAGCACAUGUGUUUCGAACUUACAGUGAUCUCCUUGUCUCUGCCUUCCCAGUGCUGAGCUCCAUUACCAGCAAGCCUGGCUAAAUACACACUUUUAUUUUGGGAACUUAACCAGAAGUCACUCACCAUUUCAGUAAAACCACCUUACAGUAUCUGAGUCAACAUGAUGGUAGGCGUGGAUCAGGAUUCUCUUUCAACUGUGUUUUUAUAGCAAAGCUAUAAAGAGGUGCAAUUGGCCAUAAGCUCAUCAUAUCUUCAAGGGAACAUGCACAUAAAUGGCAAUUCACAUUUUUCCUGUUUUUCUUUUAUUGAAGAUAGAUUUUUUCCAUACAUUCUGAUUACAGUUUACCCUCCCCCAACUCCUCUGAAUCUCCCCCCACUUACUCUAAGUUACUUUUCCAUGAGGGAGCAGGAAACGAAUGUCAUGAUCCACUGAGAUUUUUACUUUUAUUUUUUGGCUCUUUAUUACAUCCUCCUUAA